UACGUAGGUGGCGAGCGUUGUCCGGAUUUACUGGGCGUAAAGAGCGCGCAGGCGGUCGUACAAGUCGCGUGUGAAAGCCCCCGGCUCAACUGGGGAGGGUCACGCGAUACUGUUCGACUCGAAGGCAGGAGAGGGAAGUGGAAUUCCCGGUGUAGUGGUGAAAUGCGUAGAUAUCGGGAGGAACACCAGUGGCGAAGGCGACUUCCUGGCCUGUUCUUGACGCUGAGGCGCGAAAGC
rnacentral:rRNA from 1 species